GUGAAAUUGUUGAAAGGGAAACGAUUGAAGUCAGUCGUGCUGGCAUGAAAUCAACCACUACGCGCUUAAAAAUGUUGGCGGGUGAGCCUAAAAACCACCGCGCUAACGUUUUUAAGUGCGUAGUGGUGCACUUUUGUGUCGGCUGGUUAGCAUCAAUUUCGACCGUCAUAAAAAGGCUGGGGGGAUGUGGCUCCUUCGGGAGUGUUAUAACCCUUAGCGGAAUGUGGUGGACGAGAUUGAGGUUUGCAACGGGUGUUGCUCUACCUGGCCUCUCGCUGGCGCCCUGGAGGCGACAGCUUGCUGACGUCUUUGGGAGCCGCUGACGAAAAGGUUAGAGUGGAGUUGCUCGUUAAGGAUGCUGACGUAAUGGCUUUAAACGAC
rnacentral:rRNA from 1 species